AUACGCAGUCUGUCUUGACUGAAAUUUCUCUCUGCAGUUUAUAACUGUACUCAAUAAAAUAUAAAUAACUAUAAAAUGUGAAGUGCUUAUCAAGGGGAUCUAACUGAGUCUUAGGGGAGUGGAAUGGCUUCAAUAAGGUAUGCUUUUUUCAAAGCUUUAUCUUCCUGGGCAGGAAUUUCCUGGGACAGAGAAAUAAGACUCAGAUGAAUAAAAUCAUAGAGGAAGAAGGAGACAUUAUAACUGAUACUGCAGACAUUCAAAAGAUUUUUAGAGACUACCGUAAACAACUAUAUUUACAGUUGUUUUCCAAUUCCAAUGAAUUGGAAAAAAAUGGAUUAAUUCCUAGACACAUACAACUGACAAAGAUGAUCCAUGAAGAAAUAUGAAAGCUGAACACAUCAAUAACAAGUAACAUGAUCGAAGCCACAAUAAAAAGCCAUAAUAAAAGUCACAAAUUCCAAGAUUUGGAAGCAAACAGGUAAAAUUUGUAUAAAGAAAAUUUGACCUUGGUAAGGUUAUCGUAAGAGUGGAAGUACCUAAUGAAGAAAUAAUUGAGAACCAUAUGACUUAAAUUUCUGUACAUCAAGCUAUGGGAUUUGAACUUCUUGCCUCAGUAUUUGGAGAGACAGAUUGUUUGAAAAAUGUGUAUGUCAGUUAUUUACAUAUAAUAUAUAAGUAUUGAUUAUAUGUUGAUUAUUCACAUAUUGCCUCUCAGCCAUUCCCUCACCCUUCUAUACUCUGCUAUGUGCUAUGAGGUCCGGGAGUCUGCGAAUCAUAACUCCAGCUUUCUUUUAGCUGACAUCCUCUUAGAAUCUGACCAUGGAACCAUUGGGAAAUGACUGAUAGAUGAGAGGAGGGAAACAGAGGUGGGUUUACUGUUCCAGGGAACUCCAGCUCCCUUCUGUAUCCCUAGUACCAGCCCAGUGAGCUAUCUUCGUCAUUUGAGAAGCAGCCAUGAAGUGUCUACCCCUCCACAGGUCUCGGCACCAGCCUAAGUGUGGCCCCUCCUGAAAUCCAAACACCAGCCACAUGUGCACCUACACAAAUGUGUGGGAACCUGACUGGAGAAUACCAUGAGAGACAUAAAGUGUCUGCAAGAUAAAGUGUCUACAUGUGUCACUUAGCAGUAUGAUGCAAUCUGGCCAGGGGAUUUCCAGGAGACACGACCACCUCAGCACAGAUAGAAUUCUCAUAAACCUUGAAACAAAACUUGCCUUUACAAGAAUAGCUUAAACUACUUUUAUAAAAGUAACACCUGGUAAGUGACCCUGCAUUAACACAGAUAUAAGAAAGGAAGAAGAAUCUCCUAAUAUCUGAGAAUGGUCUUUGUACAGAGAUCUACCUGACUGUUUUUGGCCUAUACCACCAGCCUCCUCCCGCUGUCCCUCUUUUAAGAAUAUUGCCAUAAUAAACCACUUGAAUAUCA